AGCUGGAAUCGCUAGUAAUCGCAGAUCAGAAUGCUGCGGUGAAUACGUUCCCGGGUCUUGUACACACCGCCCGUCACACCAUGGGAGCCAGGAAUGCCCGAAGCCAGUGGCCUAACCGCAAGGGAGGAGCUGUCGAAGGCAGGCCCGGUAACUGGGGUGAAGUCGUAACAAGGUAUC
rnacentral:rRNA from 1 species